CAGUAGCCACGGGAAUACGUAGGGUGCAAGCGUUGUCCGGAAUUAUUGGGCGUAAAGAGCUCGUAGGCGGUUUGUCGCGUCUGCUGUGAAAUCCCGAGGCUCAACCUCGGGCUUGCAGUGGGUACGGGCAGACUAGAGUGCGGUAGGGGAGAUUGGAAUUCCUGGUGUAGCGGUGGAAUGCGCAGAUAUCAGGAGGAACACCGAUGGCGAAGGCAGAUCUCUGGGCCGUAACUGACGCUGAGGAGCGAAAGCGUGGGGAGCGAACAGGAUUAGAUACCCCUGUAGUCCCUGUCUCUUAUAC
rnacentral:rRNA from 1 species